rnacentral:lncRNA from 13 species
CACGACUGGGCCUGCACCCUCAGGCCAGCAUUACUGGAGAAAAGCUGCCUGGGCAGAGUGAAGUCUCUCUCUCCACACUGACCAUCACCGGCUCCAGAAGGGCCUUCUGCCCUACACCAUCUGCUCCGCCUCAUUCUAGGUGAUCUGCCUCAUUCCUCAGCAGCCGUUUAACGUCUUUUCCUCUUCAAAUCUCCCAACCCUCUCCUCUCUAUUGCAUUUUCAGCUGGCAGCAUGUACUUCUUUCUACUGAAAAAAGACCUGAAAUGUUCAGAAGAGCUCUUCUUCAAUGAUGGCCAAAGAAGUUUGACAGUGCUGCUCAGCUCAAGAACUCCAACUGAUACAGCCUCCAUCUUAAAAAAUAUUUCCACGAUAACUCAGCAGAGGACAAUAACAUGAUAUGUCUUGUACCGGCUCUGAAAUUCUUCUACCCAGAAGUGAUGCAUGUUAUUUCCAAUGACGCUUAACUCAAAGACCUUGUUAUAGGGCUACUCUUAUGUUCAAGGGUGCAGGAAUCCUCCGUGUGCCUGAAGGUAACCGGUAACUGGAUAUUAGCAAAAAUUAGUAAUGGAUCAAAAGCCAGUGUCUGGAAAGAAAAUCCUCCUGGCGCUCAAGGGCCAGUGAAUAGACUGGCCAUUUAGGGGAGGAGAGAUUGCCUGGCCUUUGUGCAUAGUCCAGAGCAGAAGCUGUUUGCACUAAGUAAAAUGGUAAAAGCGCAGUUGCUACAGCAGCACGAGGUCCUACCUCCGACCAAUACAGAGUCAGUGACUGGGCACAAAUCUCUGUUGAUGUGAAAGAGGCAGGAAUGUGAAGGCCAUGUCCUGAACGUGGGCAGUCAGGUGCAAGCUCUCUAAGGGGUGCCUUGAAGGGAUAACAGGGAGGUAGGAAUUUUAAAAAUGACUGCAACAAUGAAGUUGUGGUGCUCUCGUAAUAUUAAAGGCCGACAUUGAUAAAUCAACGUCUAUGUGGCUGCAUCUUCUACUGAGAAAGAAAAUGGCACAAAUUGAGACUGGAAAAGCAGACAACGGACAGAACAUGCAGAGAUCUUGCAGGCAAAGGGAGGAGAGGCAACUUUUAUUCAAAAUGCAAUGAGGAGCUGAAUGAAUCUAAACCAAUUUACGCUUUUAAAAAGAACACUCUCACUGUUGUUUGAAGAAUAGGUUGGGCAAAAAUGAAGCGAAAGAAGAGGUAGAAAAAGCGAUGAUGAUAUUAUGCCAGUGGUCUAGUAAAAGGUAAUGCCAAUUUACUCUAAGUGAAAGACAGGUUCUUGCACGAUUUUCGAAAUGGAAUCAGUAGGAUUUGCACAUACAGUGGGUAAGGAGGGGAGGGGAAUCAAAGAUGACCUCCAAGUUUCUGACUUGAGUAGCCAGAGUUAAGGCACUGUUUCUUCGCAAUGGGGAAAAAUGAGUAGAGGCUCAGAGAGUAGAAAACAUCAGAAGUAUAAUUUGGAGCAUUAAAUAUGUAAUGGUUAUGAUAAAUUUAAGUAGGGAUAUUAAUUAAGUGGAUAGCUAAGAAUAAUACUCCAAUUAGAAUGUAAUUAUGGAAGCCAAGAACACAGAGACAGUAUUGUCCUAAACAUUUUUAUUUGUUUAUUCAGUUUGUAUUUAUCGAGCGACAGAAAAGGGCUGAAUAUCGGAAAUAAAGAGGUAAUUAACGAAGGUUCUGGCUUUAUG